rnacentral:rRNA from 1 species
GAUGAACGCUGGCGGCGUGCCUAAUACAUGCAAGUCGAGCGAACAGACGAGGAGCUUGCUCCUCUGACGUUAGCGGCGGACGGGUGAGUAACACGUGGAUAACCUACCUAUAAGACUGGGAUAACUUCGGGAAACCGGAGCUAAUACCGGAUAAUAUAUUGAACCGCAUGGUUCAAUAGUGAAAGACGGCUUUGCUGUCACUUAUAGAUGGAUCCGGGCCGGAUUAGCUAGUUGGUAAGGUAACGGCUUACCAAGGCUACGAUGCGUAGCCGACCUGAGAGGGUGAUCGGCCACACUGGAACUGAGACACGGUCCAGACUCCUACGGGAGGCAGCAGUAGGGAAUCUUCCGCAAUGGGCGAAAGCCUGACGGAGCAACGCCGCGUGAGUGAUGAAGGUCUUCGGAUCGUAAAACUCUGUUAUUAGGGAAGAACAAAUGUGUAAGUAAAUAUGCACGUCUUGACGGUACCUAAUCAGAAAGCCACGGCUAACUACGUG